rnacentral:rRNA from 1 species
GCAUAUCAAUAAGCGGAGGAAAAGAAACCAACAGGGAUUGCCUUAGUAACGGCGAGUGAAGCGGCAACAGCUCAAAUUUGAAAUCUGGCUCCUUCGGGGUCCGAGUUGUAAUUUGCAGAGGAUGCUUCGAGUUAUGGUUCCUUCCGAGUUCCCUGGAACGGGACGCCAUAGAGGGUGAGAGCCCCGUCUGGUAGGAAACCAUGCUCAUGUGAAGCUCCCUCGACGAGUCGAGUAGUUUGGGAAUGCUGCUCUAAGGGGAGGUAUACUCCUUCCAAGGCUAAAUACCGGCUAGAGACCGAUAGCGCACAAGUAGAGUGAUCGAAAGAUGAAAAGUACUUUGAAAAGAGAGUCAAACAGCACGUGAAAUUGUUAAAAGGGAAGCGCUCGCUACCAGACGUGGGUUCGGUGGUUCAACCAGGUCCAUGACCUGGGGCACUCCGCCGGCCCAGGCCAGCAUCAGCUUUCCGUCGGGGGCAAAGGCGUCGGGAAUGUGGCUCUCCUUCGGGGGAGUGUUAUAGCCCGUCGCGUCAUACCCUUCGGGGGGCUGAGGUACGCGCUCCGCAAGGAUGCUGGCGUAAUGGUAGCUAGUGACCCGUCUUGAAACACGGACCAAGGAGUCAACCUUAUGUGCGAGUGCCCGGGCGUAAAACCCCAGCGCGGAAUGAAAGUGAACGUAGGUGAGAGCUUCGGCGCAUCACCGACCGAUCCUGAUGUCCUCGGACGGAUUUGAGUGAGAGCAUAUAGGGUUGGACCCGAAAGAAGAUGAACUAUGCGUGUGUAGGGUGAAGCCAGAGGAAACUCUGGUGGAGGCUCGCAGCGGUUCUGACGUGCAAAUCGAUCGUCAAACAUGCGCAUGGGGGCGAAAGACUAAUCGAAUCUUCUGGUAGCUGGUUUCCGCCGAA